AUUGAACGCUGGCGGAAUGCUUUACACAUGCAAGUCGAACGGCAGCACGGGGCAACCUGGUGGCGAGUGGCGAACGGGUGAGUAAUACAUCGGAACGUGCCCAAUCGUGGGGGAUAACGUAGCGAAAGUUACGCUAAUACCGCAUACGAUCUACGGAUGAAAGCGGGGGAUCGCAAGACCUCGCGCGAAUGGAGCGGCCGAUGUCAGAUUAGGUAGUUGGUGGGGUAAAGGCUCACCAAGCCAACGAUCUGUAGCUGGUCUGAGAGGACGACCAGCCACACUGGAACUGAGACACGGUCCAGACUCCUACGGGAGGCAGCAGUGGGGAAUUUUGGACAAUGGGCGCAAGCCUGAUCCAGCCAUUCCGCGUGCAGGAUGAA
rnacentral:rRNA from 1 species